rnacentral:rRNA from 1 species
AUUGAACGCUGGCGGCAUGCCUAACACAUGCAAGUCGAACGAGUGGCGGACGGGUGAGUAACGCCUGGGAAACUGCCUGUUGGAGGGGGAUAACUACUGGAAACGGUAGCUUAUACCGCAUACCCUCGGUUGUGCCCAGCUGGGAUUAGCGAGUAGGUGGGGUAAAGGCUCACAGGGGCGACGACCCCUAGCGGGUCUGAGAGUAAGACGGGCCACACGGGAACUGAGACACGGUCCAGACUCCUCGGGAGGGCAGCGGUGGGGAAUAUUGGACAUUGAGCGAAAGCCGGAUGAGCCCAUGCCGGGUGUAGGAGGAGGGCCUUCGGUUUGAAAAGUAUGUUCAGCGGGGAGGCGUUACCCGAAGAGAAAGCAACGGCUAACUCCGUGCCAGCAGCCGCGGUAAUAC